rnacentral:rRNA from 1 species
UACGUAGGGUGCGAGCGUUACUCGGAAUUACUGGGCGUAAAGCGUGCGUAGGCGGCUAUGUAAGACAGAUGUGAAAUCCCUGGGCUUAACCUAGGAACUGCAUUUGUGACUGCAUAGCUAGAGUGUGGUAGAGGGAGAUGGAAUUCCGCAUGUAGCAGUGAAAUGCGUAGAUAUGCGGAGGAACACCAAUGGCGAAGGCAAUCUCCUGGACCUGCACUGACGCUCAUGCACGAAAGCGUGGGGAGCAAACAGG